rnacentral:lncRNA from 1 species
ACCCCUCUUAAUAAGAAAAAUAAAUUGGUUCUUGUUCUCUCGCAUUCCAUAGAAGUGCCUGAAAAUUGAGAAAUUUACUAUUGUAUCACAUAGAUAACCAAAGUCACAUUGAGAACUUUUCAAAGAAAUUUACUACUGUAUUACAUAAAUAAGCAAAGUUGGAUCAACUCGAUCACACAAGAGUUCAUCAUUGAAUCAACAAUUUCCCGAAAUCUAAAAUCAGACAUCAGUCAAUGAUCCACUCUUCAACAUCAACGGAAAGAGCGGCUUGAAAGGCAAAGAAGACUCGAAAGCUUCAAUCUUUGGCCUGCAUUUGGAACUAUCUCCUUUGUUUUCCUCCAUACAUUUCUUGAAAGCUGCUUCAUCUUGCUCUUUCACAUUGCUUGUGCUCUUGCCUUUUUCUGCUGCUGCAUUCUCCUUCUUUUCGGCUUCCAUGGCCAACAAUCUAGCUCUGUUCCGGUGGAAAUAUAAAUUUCCUGCAAGCAGAAAACAAACAAAUCAGACCCCUCAUGGUUAUUGCAUGUAUAUAAUAAAAUAAUAUUGUAAAACACAUUGAAACAUUAAAGAAAUUGAUCGCAAAGGAGAAAUAACCACCUACUCUUACUUGGGUUGCUCUUAAAAUUGGACUUGACGGGGUUAUAUAGAGGAGCAGGAAACACCGAAUUAGGCUCAAGUCCCGGUUUAGGGAAAAAAAAAAGAAUAUAUUAUUAUUUUUAAUUUAGUAGUCAUUUAUUUCAUAAGAAUCUGUAUUUUGAAUAAUUAAUUCUCAUUUUAAGUUUUAGG